UACGAGUGCCCCGAGCGUUAUCCGGAAUCAUUGGGCGUAAAGGGUGUGUAGGUGGCAGUGUUAGUCGAUUGUUAAAACCUGGGGCUUAACCCCAGAUGUGCGAUCGAAACGGCACAGCUAGAGGAUGCGAGGGAUGUAUGGAACUCAUGGAGUAGGGGUGAAAUCCGUUGAUAUCAUGGGGAACACCAAAAGCGAAGGCAGUACAUUGGGCCACUCCUGACACUGAAACACGAAAGCGUGGGUAGCGAACGGG
rnacentral:rRNA from 1 species